rnacentral:tRNA from 1 species
GCCUCUGUAGCUUAAUGGAUAAAGCAGUGGUCUUCGGAACCACAGAUGGAGGUUCGAUUCCUCCCAGAGGCU